rnacentral:rRNA from 1 species
GAUGAACGCUGGCGGCGUGCUUAACACAUGCAAGUCGAACGGUAACGGGUCCUUCGGGAUGCCGACGAGUGGCGGACGGCUGAGUAACGCGUGGGAACGUGCCCCAGAGUGAGGGAUAACUACUCGAAAGAGUAGCUAAUACCGCAUAUGAUCUUAGGAUUAAAGUAUUUAUACGCUUUGGGAGCGGCCUGCGUCGGAUUAGAUAGUUGGUGAGGUAAUGGUUCACCAAGGCGACGAUCCGUAGCUGGUCUGAGAGGAUGAUCUGCCACACUGGGACUGAGACACGGCCCAGACUCCUACGGGAGGCAGCAGUGGGGAAUUUUGGACAAUGGGGGCAACCCUGAUCCAGCCAUGCCGCGUGAGUGAAGAAGGCCUUCGGGUUGUAAAGCUCUUUCGGCGGGGAAGAAAUGGCAACGGCUAAUAUCCGUUGUUGAUGACGGUACCCGCAUAAGAAGCACCGGCUAACUACGUGCCAGCCGCCGCGGUAA